rnacentral:rRNA from 1 species
AAAAAAAAAAUCAGAAUCUACUUUUUCUUGGGGGAUAACGUAGGGAAACUUACGCUAAUACCUCAUACGACCUACGGGUGAAAGCAGGUGAUCUUCGGACCUUGCGCGAUUGAAUGAUCCGAUGUCGGAUUAGCUCGUUGGCGGGGUAAAGGCCCACCCAGGCGACGAUCCGUAGCUGGUCUGAGAGGAUGAUAAGCCAAACGGGAAGUGAGACAAGGUACAGAAUACUACUGGAGGCAGCAGUGGGGAAUAUUGGACAAUGGGCGCAAGCCGGAUACAGCCAUACCGCGGGGGUGAAUUAUGUUUUUAAUGAG